rnacentral:lncRNA from 10 species
UAAAGGGUGUGGAACCUUCAGCCACGGAGAGACAGAGUCUCAACUAUUGUUACAGCCCCAGCUGAUCUUCAACUCCUGAGUUCAAGAGAUCCUCCCGCCUCAGCCUCCCAAAAUACUAUCACAGGCAUGAGCCACCUCAUUCAGCGUCCACCAGUUCAACUCCUAUUCUACCUUCAAAACUGGCACAGUGCUGGCACACUCACCCAGCAAACACUUGCUCCUCCCCUUCCCACAGCAUUCUGGACUUUGCAUAUGCACCAGCUAUAUUUAUUCUAGCAUGUACUAUUUGU